rnacentral:rRNA from 1 species
CCUACGGGAGGCAGCAGUGAGGAAUAUUGGUCAAUGGCCGUAAGGCUGAACCAGCCAAGUCGCGUGAAGGAAGAAGGAUCGAUGGUUUGUAAACUUCUUUUAUAGGGGAAUAAAGGUAUCCACGUGUGGAUAUUUGCAUGUACCCUAUGAAUAAGCAUCGGCUAACUCCGUGCCAGCAGCCGCGGUAAUACGGAGGAUGCGAGCGUUAUCCGGUUUUAUUGGGUUUAAAGGGUGCGGAGGUUGUUUUUUAAGUCAGCGGUGAAAGUUUGUGGCUCAACCAUAAAAUGGCCGUUGAAACUGGAAGACUCGAGUGUGUUUGAGGUAGGCGGAAUGCGUGGUGUAGCGGUGAAACGCAUAGAUAUCACGCAGAACUCCGAUUGCGAAGGCAGCUUACUAAGCCAUAACUGACACUGAGGCACGAAAGCGUGGGGAUCGAACAGGAUUAGAUACCCCAGUAGUC